rnacentral:tRNA from 1 species
UAGAUAUAUUUUAUUCUUUUGCAAAGAAUUAUUACUUUUUGUUAUAUCUAU